CAGUGAUCAGAUCUGAGUCUGAGAACGCUGGAGAAGAGAAAUAAUCACCGCGAGGUCCCGGCCUCCCUAUUUCUUGAAGGAUUUUGGAUUUGGAAGAGCAGCACCUGAGCUCCUGGAGGCCCCAGCGGCUGCCAUGGGGAGCGGCACACAUCUGGGUGAGCAUCACACGGGGCUGUCGCGGCGCAUCCCACACCGCCCUCCCACCCGCUGCCUCCAGUGCUGAUCGGCGCUGCCCUGCAGAGCGCUUUGCUAUGCGAGAUGGAUGUGAGCUCCGUCUGGAAGGAUUAGCCUUUAAAAAGCACGGAGAGCGGAGCUUUGCUAAUGGGGAUCGUUGCGUCUCAGCCGCCCUUCCUUCCAGGGGAGGCGUGCGAAGUUCUCUUCCACCUGACAUCCCUCUGAGCGUUUAAACCCAACGAGUCCCAGGUCAACAGCAAACCUCCCACCGGCUCCGUAGGGUUGGGGCUGUGCCUCAGCCUCUCUGCUAACAAGAAGAGACAAGCUGAAGUGAGCGCUCAGACAGCAACCAUCAGGAUUUCACAGCGUGUUUUGCCAGCAACUUGUUGUUUUUAUUCAGUGAGGUUUUUUUUUUCCCUCCUCUGUGUGCUGUAGCGACUCAGCUCCAUCCCGGGCUGCUCCUGACAUUAACAAGGCAGCAGAUGACAGGCAAAAUGCGUCCACCAGCAAUUCUGAGUCUUCC
rnacentral:lncRNA from 1 species